UAAAAUGAGAGUUUGAUCCUGGCUCAGGACGAACGCUGGCGGCGUGCCUAAUACAUGCAAGUCGAGCGAGCGGAACUAACAGAUUUACUUCGGUAAUGACGUUAGGAAAGCGAGCGGCGGAUGGGUGAGUAACACGUGGGGAACCUGCCCCAUAGUCUGGGAUACCACUUGGAAACAGGCGCUAAUACCGGAUAAGAAAGCAGAUCGCAUGAUCAGCUUUUAAAAGGCGGCGUAAGCUGUCGCUAUGGGAUGGCCCCGCGGUGCAUUAGCUAGUUGGUAAGGUAAAGGCUUACCAAGGCGAUGAUGCAUAGCCGAGUUGAGAGACUGAUCGGCCACAUUGGGACUGAGACACGGCCCAAACUCCUACGGGAGGCAGCAGUAGGGAAUCUUCCACAAUGGACGCAAGUCUGAUGGAGCAACGCCGCGUGAGUGAAGAAGGUUUUCGGAUCGUAAAGCUCUGUUGUUGGUGAAGAAGGAUAGAGGUAGUAACUGGCCUUUAUUUGACGGUAAUCAACCAGAAAGUCACGGCUAACUACGUGCCAGCAGCCGCGGUAAUACGUAGGUGGCAAGCGUUGUCCGGAUUUAUUGGGCGUAAAGCGAGCGCAGGCGGAAGAAUAAGUCUGAUGUGAAAGCCCUCGGCUUAACCGAGGAACUGCAUCGGAAACUGUUUUUCUUGAGUGCAGAAGAGGAGAGUGGAACUCCAUGUGUAGCGGUGGAAUGCGUAGAUAUAUGGAAGAACACCAGUGGCGAAGGCGGCUCUCUGGUCUGCAACUGACGCUGAGGCUCGAAAGCAUGGGUAGUGAACAGGAUUAGAUACCCUGGUAGUCCAUGCCGUAAACGAUGAGUGCUAAGUGUUGGGAGGUUUCCGCCUCUCAGUGCUGCAGCUAACGCAUUAAGCACUCCGCCUGGGGAGUACGACCGCAAGGUUGAAACUCAAAGGAAUUGACGGGGGCCCGCACAAGCGGUGGAGCAUGUGGUUUAAUUCGAAGCAACGCGAAGAACCUUACCAGGUCUUGACAUCUAGUGCCAUUUGUAGAGAUACAAAGUUCCCUUCGGGGACGCUAAGACAGGUGGUGCAUGGCUGUCGUCAGCUCGUGUCGUGAGAUGUUGGGUUAAGUCCCGCAACGAGCGCAACCCUUGUUAUUAGUUGCCAGCAUUAAGUUGGGCACUCUAAUGAGACUGCCGGUGACAAACCGGAGGAAGGUGGGGAUGACGUCAAGUCAUCAUGCCCCUUAUGACCUGGGCUACACACGUGCUACAAUGGGCAGUACAACGAGAAGCGAGCCUGCGAAGGCAAGCGAAUCUCUGAAAGCUGUUCUCAGUUCGGACUGCAGUCUGCAACUCGACUGCACGAAGCUGGAAUCGCUAGUAAUCGCGGAUCAGCACGCCGCGGUGAAUACGUUCCCGGGCCUUGUACACACCGCCCGUCACACCAUGGGAGUCUGCAAUGCCCAAAGCCGGUGGCCUAACCUUCGGGAAGGAGCCGUCUAAGGCAGGGCAGAUGACUGGGGUGAAGUCGUAACAAGGUAGCCGUAGGAGAACCUGCGGCUGGAUCACCUCCUUU
rnacentral:rRNA from 1 species